rnacentral:lncRNA from 1 species
CUGUUUGUUAGUCUCAAUCUACUGCUGAGCCUGUCGCAGUCGCGCUUCUUUGUUGUGUUCGCGUAUCAUCGGACAAAACUCUGUUUUGGUGAACUUCAAUCCCAACCUUCUGCGGGCGUAGCGUAUAGAGGUCUGGCUGACGUUCACUUCAUAAUGUGAUUGCAGGAUCUUUUGCAUAUCUCUAGCCACUAACGCUGUAUUCUUCUUAGUGAGGUCAUCUAUGACAGCUAUAACAUGGCUAGAAGGAAAAAGAGCGUGCAUGUCAAUGAAAGCAGUUUUUAAUGCUAAACAUACAUUAACAUCGUCGUAUAAUAAACACAAAAAGACAUGAACCUCUCGGACGUACACGCCUUGGCUCACGCGCCUUAUAGUGUCUGCGUACAGUCCGCUUGGACACGUUGACUCCAGCUGAGGCAAGAUGAGCCCUGAUCUCACGGAGAGUCUUCCCCUUCCUCCGCAAAAAUGGAGCAGGCCUGAGGUAAACACUAUUCAAAACUGGUCUAUGAGUUAUACAGUGGAGGAAGUAGCAGCGUGGGGGCGUGGUUAGAUCAGCUGAUCACCUGGCCAUGGUGAGAGAUGCCACUCACGUCCUCACGAGAUAUAAAAAAAGCUCAUUCUCCUCUGCAAUUUAUUCUUGGACCUCAACAUGUCUACCAAUUCUUAAAAAAUGCCUGGACAGAUGGAUUCACGGACCUUCUACAGGAAAACCACUAGACUAAAAAGAAAGGUACAUUUCAGCCAAACAUACAUACUGAGUGUGUCUAAUGUAAUUCAAUUUUGAUAUAUUAUUUCUGUUUCACUUGUCUCACUUAAUUGUCAUUGUCACCCAUGGCAUCUGGUUUGCAUCUGCCCAUCAUUACCCCAACCCAAAUAAUUUGUUCUUCCAUGCCAGCACGACAACAGCAAUUCUCCCGGACAUAGUCCUGCAAACAGUGGAACCGGACGUGGAAGAAAAGAUUUUGAAUGAGGCUAAACACAAAGAUGGCCGUCCACGUCACGUCCACGACUUCACCAUGUACUCUUCCUGGGUCCACAAGGUGAACUGCAAAGGCUCAGAUGGAAAGCAAGGAGUCCUAAAGAACGUUUUGCGGAAGGUCAAAGAGUACGUCAUGCACUGGUACUCCUCAAUUACGGAGAAGGAUUGGAAAGACAUAAUAAACGAAAGACUGCAGAAAUCGGACCCGCGGAAAUCGGAUACCAGGAGUGCUGGAAGCUGCUUUUAGACGUGCAGCAGUACUGUGUAGUUUGGCUGUAGUUUGCUAUUGCAAAACAAAAAUUGUUGUUAAAAAUGUGAAUAAAAAUUUACUGAUUAAGUUCUUGUUUUAAUUA